CUAUGGGCGGCUCCAGUGGGGAAUAUUGCACAAUGAGCGAAAGCUUGAUGCAGCCAUACCGCGUGUGUGAAGAAGGCCCGAGGGUUGUAAAGCACUUUCAAUUGGGAGGAAGGUUAAGUAGUUAAUACCUGCUUAAUUUGACGUUACCUUUAGAAGAAGCACCGGCUAACUCUGUGCCAGCAGCCGCGGUAAUACAGAGGGUGCAAGCGUUAUUCGGAAUUACUGGGCGUAAAGCGCGCGUAGGCGGAUUAUUAAGUCAGUUGGGAAAGCCCUGGGCUCAACCUGGGAACUGCAUCUGAUACUGGUAGUCUAGAGUUUAAGAGAGGGAAGUGGAAUUCCAGGUGUAGCAGUGAAAUGCGUAGAUAUCUGGAGGAACAUCAGUGGCGAAGGCGACUUCCUGGCUUAAAACUGACGCUGAGGUGCGAAAGCGUGGGUAGCGAACGGGAUUAGAUACCCCGGUAGUC
rnacentral:rRNA from 1 species